UACGUAGGGACCGAGCGUUGUCCGGAUUCAUUGGGCGUAAAGAGCUCGUAGGCGGCUGUUCAAGUCGAACGUGAAAACUCGGGGCUCAACUCCGAGCCUGCGUUCGAUACUGGACGGCUAGAGUCUGGUAGGGGGAUCUGGAAUUCCUGGUGUAGCGGUGGAAUGCGCAGAUAUCAGGAGGAACACCGGUGGCGAAGGCGGGAUCCUGGGCCAGUACUGACGCUGAGGAG
rnacentral:rRNA from 1 species